rnacentral:piRNA from 1 species
UAAGGACAAGCCCACAAUAUACAGUGC